AGCAGCCGCGGUAAUUCCAGCUCCAAUAGCGUAUAUUAAAGUUGUUGCAGUUAAAAAGCUCGUAGUUGAAUUUCGGGGUUAGUAGGCUGGUCGUGCCACUGGUAUGUACUGGUCUUACUGACUUCUCCUUUCUGAAGAACUGUAAUGCCAUUAAUUUGGUGUUGCAGGGAAUCAGGACUGUUACUUUGAAAAAAUUAGAGUGUUUAAAGCAGGCUAACGCUUGAAUACAUUAGCAUGGAAUAAUGAAAUAGGACGUUCGAUCCUAUUUUGUUGGUUUCUAGGAUUGACGUAAUGAUUAAUAGGGAUAGUUGGGGGCAUUAGUACUCAAUUGUCAGAGGUGAAAUUCUUGGAUUUAU
rnacentral:rRNA from 1 species